rnacentral:misc_RNA from 1 species
GUCACCAUAAACUUCAUCCCCUUACUUUAGUCCCUUCAUUUGACUACCAACUUUUAUUACCACACCAGCAACAUCAUAUCCUGGAAUAGUCUAUGGGGAAAAAUUUUAAAUCCUUUUAGCCACUUCACUAGAAAUCCAUCUCAAUUAAAAAUUGGAAAACCAAAAGAUUGUAGUCCAAUAAAAAAAAUUCAUUACCACCCACUUAUCUGCUAAGAAACCAGAGGGAAACAAAAAAAAAGUUUAGUCAUAGUUUCUUAGAACAAAACAGAUACAAGAAAAAUAAAGAAAAGAAAGUGAUGUACAGGAAGAGGAGAAUCAGUGGC